rnacentral:rRNA from 1 species
CUUGGUCAUUUAGAGGAAGUAAAAGUCGUAACAAGGUUUCCGUAGGUGAACCUGCGGAAGGAUCAUUACAGAGUAUGAAGAGGGAGAGGGAUGAAGGGAGUGUGAGGGUGCGAGCUCUCGGGCUGUCUUUGUUUACUCUCUCGAUAGUCCACUCCCGCGAGGGAGGGAAAGGGUAGUUUUGAGUGUGGGUGUAUGCGGUGCAAGCUGUGUAGACGCGCAUGACAGACUAAGGUAUCUGGGUAAGACUGGAUGGCCAAGCUUGUGAGUGGGGGUGCUUGCAUGACCUGCUAGUAGCCCCAUUUGCUUUAACGCAUGAUUUAUGACUUUUCAACAAAAAGUAAUAUGAGAAAACUUUUAACAAUGGAUCUCUUGGCUCCUCCAACGAUGAAGAACGCAGUGAAAUGCGAAACGUAAUGCGAUUUGCAACACCUGUGAGUCAUCAAGUUUUUGAACGCACUUGGCACCUGGACAUGUUCAGGUAUACCUGUUUGAGCAGAAUGUAACGAGUAAUAUAGUGAGCAUUAUCGCGAGCGAUGCUGCUUGAAAAGAGUAAAAAGGGACGUGGACAAGUAUUUGUCGUUCUGUGUGAUCGCAAGGCCGAGGUCUUGAGUCACGGGAUGGCGAAUGGCCGUGCACGAGGAACUCUUAAGGGGGCAGGGAGGUGGUGAAGAGGGAGAGAGGGGUGGCUGGGAAGCAAUUUCCAGCGUGCUCAAAUCAUCUUUUCACCCCUCAUCCACCAACCCCGCAAUCACAUUUCUCUCAGAUCAGGCAGGAUUACCCGCUGAACUUAAGCAUAUCAAUAAGCGGAGGA